AGUGGGUGUAACGUACCUACUAGCCUACGACGGGUACGGGUUGUGAGAGCAAGAGCCCGGAGAUGGAUUCUGAGACAUGAAUCCAGGCCCUACGGGGUGCAGCAGGCGCGAAAACUUUACAAUGCGGGCAACCGCGAUAAGGGGACCUCGAGUGCUGGGUUACAAACCUGGCUGUUGGGCUGCCUAAAAAGCAGUCUAUAGCAAGGGCCGGGCAAGACCGGUGCCAGCCGCCGCGGUAACACCGGCGGCUCGAGUGGUAACCGCUAUUAUUGGGUCUAAAGGGUCUGUAGCCGGCUGACUAAGUCUCUUGGGAAAUCUGGCAUCUCAAGUGUCAGGCUGCCAGGAGAUACUGGUCGGCUUGGGACCGGGAGAGGUGAGAGGUACCUCGGGGGUAGGGGUGAAAUCUUGUAAUCCUCGAGGGACCACCAGUGGCGAAGGCGUCUCACCAGAACGGAUCCGACGGCAAGGGACGAAAGCUAGGGGCACGAACCGGAUUAGAU
rnacentral:rRNA from 1 species